rnacentral:rRNA from 1 species
UAAUACGUAGGUGGCAAGCGUUGUCCGGAUUUACUGGGCGUAAAGGGCGUGCAGGCGGUUUGUUAAGUGCAGGGUGAAAGCUCCCGGCUCAACUGGGAGAGGUCCUUGCAUACUGGCAAACUCGAGGGAGGCAGAGGAAAGUGGAAUUCCCGGUGUAGUGGUGAUAUGCGUAGAUAUCGGGAGGAACACCUGUGGCGAAGGCGGCUUUCUGGGCCUUACCUGACGCUGAGACGCGAAAGCGUGGGGAGCGAACCGGAUUAGAUACCCGGGUAGUCCACGCCGUAAACUAUGGACACUAGGUGUGGGGGGUAUCGACCCCCUCCGUGCCGAAGCUAACGCAAUAAGUGUCCCGCCUGGGGAGUACGGCCGCAAGGCUA